rnacentral:rRNA from 1 species
CCAAUAGCGUAUAUUAAAGUUGUUGCAGUUAAAAAGCUCGUAGUUGAAUUUCGGGAUCGAAUUGUUGGUCGUGCUUCGGUACGUACUGGCGUUAUUGGUUCCUACCUUCUGAAGAACCGCGAUGUCAUUAAUUUGGUGUCGUGGGGAAUCAGGACUGUUACUUUGAAAAAAUUAGAGUGUUUAAAGCAGGCGCACGCUUGAAUACAUUAGCAUGGAAUAAUGAAAUAGGACGUUUGAUUCUAUUUUGUUGGUUUCUAGGAUCGACGUAAUGAUUAAUAGGGAUAGUUGGGGGCAUUAGUAUUCAAUUGUCAGAGGUGAAAUUCUUGGAUUUAUUGAAGACUAACUACUGCGAAAGCAUUUGCCAAGGAUGUUUUCAUUAAUCAAGAACGAAAGUUAGGGGAUCGAAGACGAUCAGAUACCGUCGUAGUCUUAACCAUAAACUAUGCCGACUAGGGAUCGGAUGAUGUUAAUUUUUUAAUGACUCAUUCGGCGCCUUACG